rnacentral:rRNA from 1 species
AUUGAACGCUGGCGGCAUGCCUUACACAUGCAAGUCGAACGGUAACAGGUCUUCGGAUGCUGACAAGUGGCGAACGGGUGAGUAAUACAUCGGAACGUGCCUAGUAGUGGGGGAUAACUACUCGAAAGAGUAGCUAAUACCGCAUGAGAUCUACGGAUGAAAGCAGGGGAUCGCAAGACCUUGUGCUACUAGAGCGGCUG